UGGGGAAUAUUGGACAAUGGGCGCAAGCCUGAUCCAGCAAUGCCGCGUGUGUGAAGAAGGCCUUCGGGUUGUAAAGCACUUUUAUCAGGAGCGAAACGCUGUCGGCUAAUACCCGGCGGAACUGACGGUACCUGAGGAAUAAGCACCGGCUAACUUCGUGCCAGCAGCCGCGGUAAUACGAAGGGUGCAAGCGUUAAUCGGAAUUACUGGGCGUAAAGCGUGCGUAGGCAGGUUUCUUAAGUCUGCUGUGAAAUCCCCGGGCUCAACCUGGGAAUGGCAGUGGAUACUGGGAGGGCUAGAGUGUGUCAGAGGGUGGUGGAAUUCCCGGUGUAGCGGUGAAAUGCGUAGAGAUCGGGAGGAACAUCAGUGGCGAAGGCGGCCACCUGGGACAACACUGACGCUGAGGCACGAAAGCGUGGGGAGCAAACAGGAUUAGAUACCCUGGUAGUCCACGCCCUAAACGAUGCGAACUGGAUGUUGGUCUCAACUCGGAGAUCAGUGUCGAAGCUAACGCGUUAAAGUUCGCCGCCUGGGGAGUACGGUCGCAAGACUGAAACUUAAAUGAAUUGACGGGGUCAUAGCUGUUUCC
rnacentral:rRNA from 1 species